ACAAUGCCCCAGAUGAAGGGCAACUGUCAGUGCCAAUGGGGUCCCCAUAAGCUACCUGAGAGUGCCUGGUGCUGGCGCCAAGCCUGGGUUUUAAAUAACAACUUCAUACAGAAGAGAAAGGUAAAGAACAGUGUGGUGGUGGUGGUGGUGGUGGUGGUGUUUUAAAAAAUAAACUAUGAAUAAGACAAUUGCCUAUCAAGGCACAAUCCUGCCACCUCCUACACAUCUCUGCAAAACCAAACAAAAUUCAGGGUUACACGGACAAAAAUUCACUGAACGACAGUCAUUAUCCAACGUGAGUAUGUAUUUUUCACAAUUACCUUCUCUUUUUGGAAACAGUACCUGGUGUUUGGUUCCAACUGAACCGGAGAGACAAUAUUUCUUUUGGGUGAUAUCUUUGAAACAGCAUCCAAAGUUUCAUGUACUACCUUCCCUCUAGAAAUGGAAGUAUCUUCCACCAACAUGACAAAAUUAGAAAAUUAAUGGCAGUCGUGGCUUUCCCACUGUCACUCUAAACUUCAUGAAUGUUACAAUUUUUGUCCCUUGUUUGAUGUACAAUGGGGGGAAAUUGCAGUAUAGACAUAAAACUGCCAAAGAAGUAUCAUAAGAAUCCAGCAGAUGAUAACUGUGACUCAGGAUGUAGGCGGCAUAGAUUAGGGAGCUGAAUAAUUAGGUUCAAGCUGAAUCAGGAAAACGAUGGGGAAACAGGCAAGAAACAGGGACACAAACAGGGAGAAUUCAGGACAGGAAACAGAGGGACAAAGUAAGGCACUGCCAAGGAGUUGCUGGCCAAGCUGGUUAGCAGCUUUGUUCCGCACUGAGCUGAGCGGAAAUUUCUCAGAAAAGAUUUUCUGUUAACAUUUUCUGAUCAUUUUCUUUUUCACCUCAGCCCUGGGGGGUGGGGGAAGAGUGAUUCUUCAGAAUAUUUUCUUCUACCCCACGCCAUUUUGGAAGAUGUAAAAUGGCAGCCAAGUUGUCAACCUUGGAGAAUUUCAUCACACCCUGGAGAAUAUCUGGCAACAUGCUGCACCCCCAUUUGGGAGGAGAGUGGCAUUUUCACAAAGCUGUAGUUCUGUCCCCCUUUGCAAAAAGACAGAGUGUAGAAGCCAAAAAGCAGAACAAGCCAAUAGGCAUUUUUGUGAGCUUGCAUUCAACAGCACAGUGAGGCUGAGGAGAGAUUCCAGGCAGAUUCCAGGCAAAGAGAUGACCAGCCAUCUCAAUUACUCAAAUAACUAGGGUAAGAAAGAAGAAUAGAGUGUAUUAGUGCAGUCAGAAGGAUUUAGGAUGCAAUACUGAUGGCCACAGACUUCCUGAAAAGGUGGAGCUUUUUGAAGUCCAAGAAUUAUGUUGCAAAAUGUGCAGAAAUUGUACAUAAGCCUCAAAGUUUGUGGCAUAUAUACAUCACCUUAAGGCUCCCCCUGCUGUUUGAUCUAGACUUAAUCCAUUCCAUCCUGCCUUCUCCUAUAUCACCUCCCAAAAAUCAAACAUGUCUUGGGCAUGGGAAGGAAUUCAGCUUGUAUAUUAAUGGAAAAAUUCUCCUCUCCCACUGAUAAUUGAAUUUGUAAUUCUUUUCAUCCAAUUUCCUUCUAUAUCGCCCUCUCUUAACUCCCAUAAUUUACCCAGCUGGUAUAUCUGAAAUCCUGCUUCUUGCUAAGAAUCAGGUUUGGUCAGGCAGAAUCUUAGUGUCCUACCAUACGCCAGGAUAGAAAGCGAGUUUUAGCAUCCUUUCUUCCGGUGUUUGAGAACAGCUAGCAUGGUCAAGUGUCCCUUUCUUCUCGGUAGUCAAUAAGGAAGGCCCUCCACCAUUGUAUAAAGUGAUUUUAGAAUAUGAACCCUGAUUUGAUUUAUUUAUUAAGUUUAUAUGUCACCCUUCAUCCAAUGACCACAGGGCAGUUUACAGUACAAAAACACAAAAAUGCAUAACAUCAUGACAAAAAUAAUAACCCCGCUUUGUUCCCCUGCACUUCUCUGUGUACUGCAACCCACCACAUUUCCCAUCCUCUCAAACAUUUCUCCUUCUGCUGCAAAUCUCUCCACAUUUGCAGCAAUCUCCAACUUGCUCCAAACCUCUUUACCCAGAUUGCAUCCGGCAACUACUGAUUUAAGCAAUCACUGCCCUGAAAUCCUCCAAUUGGAUUUCAUUUGUGUCCAUCUCCCCUAUACCUUCCCAUCACCCACAUGAGGCCAUGCACUUGAUUUCAAGCUGGGGUGCAGAGGAGGAAGUAGAGUGCGUGAUUUACUGUUGUUUUUCUUCUAAGCUAUUUCUAAUACUUGGCAGUACUAUUUGUGUUUAUUAUGUGUUCAGGAUUGUGAAAUGCCAGUCUUCAUUUAAAUAGUUUAAAGUAAACUGUUUAAUCUUAUGUUUUUACUUUAAUAAAUCAUUCUUGCCAUUGCUUCAGAAAUCCUUAUCUCUGGCUUGAUUAUUCUUUUAAACAAGGUGCCUUUUCACAGUGAUGCUUGUUGGUUUGAAGUCUAGACAUUUCAGGUGAAUGAAUGUGCUAACCAGCUGGUUAACUAAUGUGCAUAGAAACAUGGUAAAUAUAACAAACAUGUAACAUAAAAGGCAGAACUGGAAUGAAAGCUUCGUUGUUAUUCAUUCAAGACUGUGCUGUGCCCCAACAUCCUUUCCUCUGCCAGCUUUCCCCCUGACUUUCCCCAUCCUUCAACAUGUUCAACAGGGUUCUUUGCAUGUUCAGCUAAACAUGCUUAGGAAACCCCCUAUGACAGGAAACUCUGUGCAGUCAGGAUUCCCAAUAGUUCCAGGAUUCUAAACACAUCCGGUCAACUGUGCCAAAAAUCUGUCUUGAGACCAUUCCACUCAACUCAUGAAGCUCAAGAUAGAGGGAACUGAUGUCUAUUUCACCUUCACAAUUUACAUCUCUCCUUUAUUUACAUGUUUGUUUGUUUGCUGUUUGUUUGUUUCAAUGCCUGCAGAUGACUAAGUGAGGCUUCCUAUUAUAUUAUAUUCGAACCUCUGAAUUUGGGAAUCCCUUCCUCUAAAUCAGGAGGCAGGCUCAGAACAGUGAUUCAUGCAAACACAUAAGGAGUUGAUCCAUCUGAGAGCAAAUAAUUAUUACUCUUUCACACUCUAAAAAAAGGAGCAUAGCCUGGUCAUGUACCACAGAAGCAUGCUUUCAAGUUCCAAAAAUUCAGAACGUUGGGGAAAGCUGACCUAUACAGUAGAAGGGAAAUUUGCAUUUUGUGAGAAUUUGAUCCAUUACUUAGAUUACUGUGAAUUUUGGAUUACCAAAUUUGUUCCAUUAUUCUGCUCAUGCAAAUGCAAUUACACACAAUCUUAACCAGGCAUGCAUUUUCAAAUCAAGAAACAAUUCAGGGUGGGCGACUUCCUUGGAGAUGAAUUACAGUCGGAUACCAAUACCCAAGUACAAAGUGCAUGUGUAUCACAGUCCCCCAUGAAAGAUCCAUAUAUAAAUCCAUGUAUAAAUCACAGCUUCUAAUAAACUUCUAAUAAUAAGCUUCUAAUAAACAACAACAACUGAGUCAGAGGCCCAUGCAGACCUGGCUCUCUCUAAAUGAGCAUACCCUUCAUCAAUUAAAAAUUAUCUGAAAUCCGCAUCAGGAAAUGUCUCACAAUUAGCAACCUUAAGGUCCAUCAUGAAAAGGCCAUGGUUCAUCAGUUGUUCUUCCUUUUGUUACGAAGUUGCUCCUUGAAAGCACAUUCAGCCCCUUGCAACAAUGCAGUCGUUCCCUCCUUCCUCCCCAACAAAUGAAAGGGUCAGUCAUCUCAUUACCUGAAACAAAAACCCGAGUGCAGCUAGCAUUGUUAGAACCCUUAAUAACAGGAGAGAAACACUGCAGAGGAGAGAAGGGCACGAGAAACAAUGGCGUCUCACUCAUCAUUUCUAACACUCGCUGAAAUCCAAUCAGUUGGGUCAAUAAUCAGGGGACCUUGAAAAGACAAACCAGAUCAUUGUUAGAAUGUAAUUAAUCCAAAAGAGUAGAUGCAUUUGGUUGUUACUGAAAAGACUGAAACUGCAUUCCCAACAAUGCCUCUCAGAGAGCGAGUUAUUGGGCAAAAGAAAAGGCAAUUUAUUUAUUUUUUGCUUUUUGUAAGAUUUAAUUAUGCCUUACCCGAAAAAUACAACAACAAUACAGAAUUUCAAUGCAAUUCACUAAAACAAGAGGACAAAAUAUACCAAUUUUUAAUCCUGAAUAGAAAGGCUGAAAUAAUAGCUAUAUGCAUUAAUUACAACUGAUUUCACUAAUUAAGGUAGCUCUCAUUUUGGCAAGAUGUCACCAAUAUGCAAAAAAACAUCCAGUUCUCUUUUGUUUACCACAAUAUAUCCUAAAGUGGUAGUCUAAGUUUUGAACCAAUGUUUGGGGGUAGUUUUGGUUGGGAGUUCCAAUUCUCAUUAUUCCUCUUGUUAUCUCAGUGUUGGUCUACUGAGGAGCUGUACUUAAGAUAGCCAGGAUACUUCGAUUUAGCCAGAAUACUGCUGUCAGAUUAUUAUGAGGAGCUAACAGCCCAUACUGUAGAAUGGCAGCUUUACAUUACUUUCACAAGCGGCUUGCCUUCAGUUGAAUAUGGUGGCAUUAGCUUUUAAAACCCCAAACAGCCUGUGGGGACAGACCAUCUCAGGAAUUGCAUCCUCCCAUAUCAGGCUCUUUGAGAACUAUUCAGCCUAUGGGGCCAUUCAUUUUCUCCCCUCCACUGGCAAAAAAAAUAAUAUCUCUUCAUGGGGACAAGGGAAAGGGCUUUCUCUGUCAUGGGGCUAGACUGUAGAAUAAUUAUCCAAAGAGGAACUUCUGCCCCAUUCUUUCCCCACUUUUAUGCAAGUACAGU
rnacentral:lncRNA from 1 species